ensembl:lncRNA
CGGACCACCAGACCACUGUACUGGGAGGAAAUGUAUUAACAAAUCAGCCUUUCCUUCUAAACUGGACUUCAGUUUCCUUGGAGAGGGAAUACUACAUUGUGGAUGAAGAUUCCACAUUCUUAGAAGUGAUUCUCAUGUGCAGAGGACACCUUGGAAGAACAUCCUUCAUCAGUUCUGCCACAGGCACGAUUCCUUCCACAGUGGUAGCUUUCUCUGACUACAUCUCAUGACCAGCAGACCACAGCAGCAUCCUCCACUUUGAAAAGGAUGAAACUGAGAAGACCUGCCGGGCCCUCAGCUUCGAUGACUCUUUUUAUGAAGAGGAGGAAUAUUUUCACGUGUCCCUGAGCCUGCCAGUGGGAGGACAGCUGGGAGCCAAAUUCCCACCACCAAGGUAAUCAUCCUGGCUGAUCAUGAAGAUGGUAAGUUCCUUUCCUGCUUCCUCACUCUUGGCGUUAGCUGCCUUCUGUUCACACUUUCCUCCAACUGUUGAAAACCAAGUUCAGCUCGAUUACCUUUUAAAGGAAUAUUUGAUGCUCUCCUUUCUCCAAAUGAGUAAGUAGCUUUUCAAAAACAAAGAUAUUACUAAAGCCAAGGUCAAAAUGAAAAUGCAAAAAGAUUAAAUGUUUGCUUAUGACUUUAUUUUUGAAGGAAGGAAAGAAAGAGCAAGCACAAAGAAGUUACAUAAGACUUGGAAAGAAGCCAAGAAAAGGACCUGAGUCAAGUUUCCAGAUUCCCAACCAGGACCACUGCACAAGGACUUUUAUCUUGGCAGCACAGGGAUCCUCUCUGAAAACAGUCAGUAGAUGCAUCUUCAACUGGCACAGAUGAGCCAGGCAUGGUGGCACAUGCCUGCAACUUUUGAAAGAAAAUAGUAAUAAAGACAAGACCAGAAUCAGACUAUAUUACUAGUCUCCUAUUGGACUGAUUGCUUCAUCUCUCAACCACGCUUUUGUCAGGACUAGACAGGCUAUGAGUUGCUGUGCUCAGAUCGAGGCAGCAUUAGACUGGCUUGCUAGUCUUAACCCAAAAUUAAUGCAACUACUUUAUGGAUCCAGCAUAGAACUUCCAUAAAACUGAGAGCUCUGUCAAGAGAUAAGCAGAUGGAGUCAAGUUUGAGCAGUAUAUAUGCUCUCAAGGUGCAUGGGGUAAAUUUAUCAUGUAUUAUAAUGUUUUGUUUGAAAUUGUGUCUUUAAAACAACCAUAGAACAAGGGAAAAUAUGAGUAAGGUCAAAAGUGGUUUUUCAUUUGUUUAUUUUUGGCCUGAAUGGCUUUGCUUGGUGAUAAUGUACCCUACACCCUAUGUACCAGACCUUAGAAAUAGGUAGUAGACCAUUAAAAAG